rnacentral:rRNA from 1 species
UGCCAGCCGCCGCGGUAAUACGGAGGGGGCUAGCGUUGCUCGGAAUUACUGGGCGUAAAGAGCACGUAGGCGGGUAUUCUAGUCAGGCGUGAAAGCCCCAGGCUCAACCUGGGAACUGCGUUUGAUACUGGAUACCUAGAGUCCGAGAGAGGGUGGUGGAAUUCCCAGUGUAGAGGUGAAAUGCGUAGAUACUGGGAGGAACACCAGUGGCGAAGGCGGCCAACUGGACCGGUUCUGACGCUGAGGCGCGAAAGUGUGGGGAGCAAACAGGAUUAGAUA